AUUGAACGCUGGCGGCAUGCCUUACACAUGCAAGUCGAACGGCAGCGGGGGAGAAGCUUGCUUUUCCUGCCGGCGAGUGGCGAACGGGUGAGUAAUACAUCGGAACGUGCCCUGUAGUGGGGGAUAACUAGUCGAAAGAUUAGCUAAUACCGCAUACGACCUGAGGGUGAAAGUGGGGGACCGCAAGGCCUCAUGCUAUAGGAGCGGCCGAUGUCUGAUUAGCUAGUUGGUGGGGUAAAGGCCUACCAAGGCGACGAUCAGUAGCUGGUCUGCGAGGACGAUCAGCCCCACUGGGACUGAGACACGGCCCAGACUCCUACGGGAGGCAGCAGUGGGGAAUUUUGGACAAUGGGCGAAAGCCUGAUCCAGCAAUGCCGCGUGUGUGAAGAAGGCCUUCGGGUUGUAAAGCACUUUUGUCCGGAAAGAAAUGGCUCUGGUUAAUACCUGGGGUCGAUGACGGUACCGGAAGAAUAAGGACCAGCUAACUACGUGCCAGCCGCCGCCGUAA
rnacentral:rRNA from 1 species